rnacentral:rRNA from 1 species
UAGGGAAUCUUCGGCAAUGGACGAAAGUCUGACCGAGCAACGCCGCGUGAGUGAAGAAGGUUUUCGGAUCGUAAAACUCUGUUGUUAGAGAAGAACAAGGACGUUAGUAACUGAACGUCCCCUGACGGUAUCUAACCAGAAAGCCACGGCUAACUACGUGCCAGCAGCCGCGGUAAUACGUAGGUGGCAAGCGUUGUCCGGAUUUAUUGGGCGUAAAGCGAGCGCAGGCGGUUUCUUAAGUCUGAUGUGAAAGCCCCCGGCUCAACCGGGGAGGGUCAUUGGAAACUGGGGGACUUGAGUGCGGAAGAGGAGAGUGGAAUUCCAUGUGUAGCGGUGAAAUGAGUAGAUAUAUGGAGGAACACCAGUGGCGAAGGCGGCGCACUGGUCUGUAACUGACGCUGAGGCUCGAAAGCGUGGGGAGCAAACAGG